rnacentral:rRNA from 1 species
AGAGUUUGAUCAUGGCUCAGGAUGAACGCUGGCGGCGUGCUUAACACAUGCAAGUCGAACGAUUAAAGCCCGCUUCGGUGGGUGUAUAGAGUGGCGAACGGGUGAGUAACACGUGGGCAAUCUGCCCCUCACUUCGGGAUAACUCAGGGAAACCUGAGCUAAUACCGGAUACUCCGGGAUGGUCGCAUGGCCGACCCGGGAAAGUUCCGGCGGUGAGGGAUGAGCCCGCGGCCCAUUAGCUUGUUGGUGAGGUAACGGCUCACCAAGGCGACGAUGGGUAGCCGAGCUGAGAGGCUGAUCGGCCACACUGGGACUGAGACACGGCCCAGACUCCUACGGGAGGCAGCAGUGGGGAAUCUUGCGCAAUGGGCGAAAGCCUGACGCAGCAACGCCGCGUGCGGGAUGAAGGCCUUCGGGUUGUAAACCGCUUUCAGCAGUGACGAAUCUGACUGUACCUGCAGAAGAAGCCCCGGCUAACUACGUGCCAGCAGCCGCGGUAAUACGUAGGGGGCAAGCGUUAUCCGGAUUCAUUGGGCGUAAAGCGCGCGUAGGCGGCUUGUUAAGUCAGGUGUGAAAACCGGGGGCUCAACCCGCGGCCUGCACCUGAAACUGGCAGGCUUGAGUCUGGUAGAGGGAAAUGGAAUUCCGAGUGUAGCGGUGAAAUGCGCAGAUAUUCGGAAGAACACCAGUGGCGAAGGCGGUUUCCUGGGCCACGACUGACGCUGAGGCGCGAAAGCUAGGGGAGCGAACAGGAUUAGAUACCCUGGUAGUCCUAGCCGUAAACGAUGGGCACUAGGUGUGGGGGGUCAUCAACUCCCUCCGUGCCGCAGCUAACGCAUUAAGUGCCCCGCCUGGGGAGUACGGCCGCAAGGCUAAAACUCAAAGGAAUUGACGG